UACGGAGGGUGCAAGCGUUGCUCGGAAUUACUGGGCGUAAAGCGUGUGUAGGCGGCCCUAUAAGUCGGGUGUGAAAUCCCUAGGCUCAACCUAGGAACUGCGCCCGAAACUGCAGGGCUUGAGUGCCGGAGAGGGUGGUAGAAUUCCCGGUGUAGAGGUGAAAUUCGUAGAUAUCGGGAGGAAUACCGGUGGCGAAGGCGGCUACCUGGACGAGCACUGACGCUGAGACACGAAAGCGUGGGGAGCAAACAGG
rnacentral:rRNA from 1 species